AACCAAUGGCCUCCUGAACGUGCGUUGCACCCUUGGGAUUUCUUGAGAGUAUGUCUGCUUCAGUGCUUAA
rnacentral:rRNA from 1 species